CACAAGGAGGAGACCUCACCAAGGUCUCCAUGCACAAGGCGGAGAGGCUGGGAGGCAGGUGGUGUGGAGAACUUCCGUAUGCAUGGCAGCUCUCGAGUCCAGAGCCUCAUAUUCUGCAACUGACCUGCUGUAGGCACUGCUUCCUGAGAGAGAGAUGACAGGCAGGGUCCUCCAAGGUCAGGAAGUCCCUGCUGUCACAUCUAGAGGAGCAGUGGAGGUCAGAAGUCAUAGAACCAAGGGCCACUCACGAGGAUUUGACAGGCCUCCCAGGCUUCGAGGUGGCAUCUCUUCUGGGGCCUCCAUGUCCACCAGGAGGGCAGCUGAGGACAGAGAACCCACUAUCCAUUCCUCAGUAUGCUUCUGCUUGAAUGAGCAUCACCUGUCAUCCAUGCCACCCUAGAGUAGCUCACAAGCCAGCUGUUGGAUCUCACCCUUCUUCACUCUGAGAUGCUGAAGCCAAGACUCUAAUGACCACAUAUCUGCUUGGACAGUUGGGUUCUUGUCAGGCUCUGUCUGAAAAAGGGACCCAGAGGGAGGCGUAUGAACCAGGGGGAAGCUAGGGAUUUGGUCUCUUUCUGUUUCCUCCUCCAGUCACCUCUCCUGGAUCCUGCACAACAGCAGUAUCUCCUGCCUCUAGGAACAGCAUCGGGGCCCAACUAGCAGUUUUUUAUGGACUCUCUUCACUGGAACUUGAUUGAUGAUAGUUCAAAUGUGGCCCCUUCUUGGCUAAUUGGUCUGUCCCAUAGGGCCCACUGCAGUAGUCCCAUUGACCCAUUUCUCCUUCCCUUUAGUCCUAGUAUUGUAUCCAGCCCACAGCUGCCUGGCCUCCCUUGUAGCUCACACAGCUGCUCUGACUCUCCUUGCAGCUAGGGUAUGACUGCAUGACCACACGCUCACCAAUGGAGUAUUAGCAGAGUGAGUGUGGGAUGCAACUUUGGGAUCAUAUGCUUAAAAGAAAAUUCCUUUGUCUUGGGGGUUUUGCCCCUUCCCUUGGGCUGAAGCAUGUAUGCAGUAGUAACCCACCAUGUUUGGGUACAUUGAGCAACAAUAGGGAGGACCUGGGGGCCCUGAAUCCUCAUGUAAUUGAGGUGUCCAGAACCCAACCACCUACCUCCCACGUGAGACAAAUAUGCUUCUAUCUUCUUCAUGCUCAUGUUUGUGGGUCUUUUUAUUACAGAGGAUGAGAGAAAGGUACAGCCUUUGACAGCCAGGCCCCAAUGCUCUCUCUCCUGUGGGGCACAAACAGUAUCAUACACCACCACCACCAGGGAAGCCCACUGUGACUACAAUGCACCAAGAGAAGACUACUCCCACAUCAGAUCUCAGCACAGACAGAAACACAAAACACCCAAACUAUAAAGAUGAUCAAACACCCCAAUUAGUGUGGAGAACUUCCGUGUGCCUGGCUCAGAGAGAGCCCCACCUGCCCAGAGCUGCUUUAACCAACCACAGCACAGGCUGCCUUUGCUGCCCCCCUCAGUCCUAGUCUUUGGCCAGCGUCAGAACAAAGCCCCGCUUCCCAGAGCCCAAGCCUGGGAACAACAACCCAGCCCAACUCCUGUGACAUGUCCUUGCUAACACUUCCUUACUGAGAUGAUAUUUGACAUACGUACAGAGCACUGGCUGGCCUCACAAUGGCCACUGUCUGGCUUCCAACAGUUCUACCAGCCAGUUGCAUGAAAACCAGCACUCAGGUCCUAUGAGCUUGAGUGGCCCAUGGCUCCAGGGUGUCAACACAGCUCACCCUGUGGCAUCACCGGUCCCCUCCCUGCCCCUACCCUCCCUCCUCCAGCCGCCAUCCCAGGUGCUGGGUGUUCCAGCUACACUGUCCCCCCCCCCUCAGACAGACCGGCCACCUUCUCAUAUCUGUCCACUUAAUGAUAGUAACCACUAUGUGCUUCUGGGGCUCUUCCAUGUGUCAAGGACUUUUAAAGCACUUUCUUUCCAUUUCCAUUCCAGUGUCACUUGGCAAAUGAUAAAAUGGAAGCACAGAGAGGUUAAGUGACUUGCCUGACAUCACACAGCCCCAAAUGAUACAAUCAGGAUGAGAAUGAAAGCGAUCCGGAUCCGAGAGUGCCUAUUCAGUCUCCCCAGGCUUCUUCCUCCCACUCUACCCUUGCUAGACAACAGCCAUCUGAGCUCCUCUACUUGCCCAGUCACCCCAUUGGGGUUCUACUUUGAAAUGUAGGUCUGCUCCUACCCACCUGCCUCCCUCCUGAGAGUCCUCCAAAGACUCCUCAUUGUUGGAUACAGAAGACCCAGGGUCCUCCCUGUGGCCCACAAGACCUGCUGAUGUCUUAAGCCUGACCAGGCACUAUCAUUCUCCUCACUGCUUUUCCUAUGACCUGAACUCUCUGUCCCUCCUGCCACAGGGCCUUGGCACAUGCUGUGCCUCCACGAGGACUCUCUUCUCCCUCAUUCAGCAAAUCAAUUUUCCCUGAGUGUCUAUCGGUGAGUUUCUCGUGGAUCACAGCACAUGGGCAAUUCUACCUUCUUUGUAUGAUCCAUUAACCUAGCAGGUGCUGGUACUAGUUGGUCAGUAGUAAGUAUUUCUUGAAUAAAACCUGAACAGGCAUAAUUAAAUGCAAUGUGUGGGCCUUGGUUUGGGCCUCAUUUCAAACAAAUUGUAAACAACAAAUUUUGGACUUCAGCAGAGAAUUUACAUAUGGAGUAGGUAUCGGAUGAUAUUCAAGAAUAACUGUUGCUGAGCCUGGUGGCACACACUUGCUGGUAGGAAUCUCAGCACUCUGGGAGGCUGAGGCAGGAGGGUCACAAGCUGGAGCCCCGCCCAAGCAACAUAGCAGCUUAGCAAGACCCUGUCCCAAAAUGAAAAAUACAAGAGGGCUGGGGUUGUAGCUUAGUCUGAAGGCCCUGGAUUCAAUACCCAGAACUGGAAGAAGGGAAAAAAAAAAAGAAUAAUUUUCCUUUUGUUCGGUAUAAUUCUGGCGUGAGGGGUAUGUAUUUUCUUAAUCCUUAGUAAUUGAGGCUCGUGCUGAUGUUUGUGGGUAAUAGGAAAUCACAUUGGCAGUUUUCUUUAAAACAAAUUUGUCCUCAAGAAUGUCCCCCAAAAGUGUGUGUGCUGGUGGGGGGGGGUGUCUAGGUGAAAUCAGAGUAAAAUAUUGCUAGUUAUUGAAGCUAGGCAUUGGGACAGGAAAACUGUGAAUGACUGCUGGGCACAGUGGUGCAUGCCUGUCAGCCCAGCACCGCGGGAGGCAGAGGCAGGAAGCUCGCAACUUAACUAGACCCUGUCUCAAAAUGAAAAAUAGAAAAGGGCUGGGGAUGUAGCUCAGUGCAAAGGCCCUGAGUUCAAUCCCCAGGACUAAGAAAUAAAUAAGGAAUAAAAAAAUGUCUCUAAAUUACAAUAGCGAUUCUAACACAUUCAUU
rnacentral:lncRNA from 1 species